ACGGGUUGCCUUCGGGCAGCCAGUGGCGGACGGGUGAGUAACACGUGGGUGACCUGCCCCGAAGUGGGGAAUAACGCUGCGAAAGCAGCGCUAAUACCGCAUACGCUUAGCGCUUCACUACGUUAAGUAAAGCUAUAUGCGCUUUGGGAGGGGCCUGCGGCAGAUUAGCUAGUCGGUGGGGUAAUGGCCUACCGAGGCGACGAUCUGUAGCUGGUCUGAGAGGAUGACCAGCCACACUGGGUCUGAGACACGGCCCAGACUCCUACGGGAGGCAGCAGUAAGGAAUAUUCCACAAUGGGCGCAAGCCUGAUGGAGCGACGCCGCGUGCGCGAAGAAGCCCUUCGGGGUGUAAAGCGCUUUUCUCGGGGAUGACGACCGACAGUACCCGAGGAAGAAGCCUCGGCUAACUACGUGCCAGCAGCCGCGGUAAUACGUAGGAGGCGAGCGUUGUCCGGAAUUACUGGGCGUAAAGCGCGUGUAGGCGGUCUGAAUAGUCUGCUGUGAAAGCGCCUGGCUUAACCGGGCGAGGUCGGCGGAAACUCUCAGACUGGAGGCCGGUAGAGGGGGGUGGAAUUCCCGGUGUAGUGGUGAAAUGCGUAGAGAUCGGGAGGAACACCUGUGGCGAAGGCGGCCCCCUGGGCCGCGCCUGACGCUGAUACGCGAAGGCUAGGGGAGCGAACGGGAUUAGAUACCCCGGUAGUCCUAGCAGUAAACGAUGUGUACUAGGUGUGGGGGGUAUCGAGCCCCUCC
rnacentral:rRNA from 1 species